rnacentral:rRNA from 1 species
UUUAUCGGAGAGUUUGAUCCUGGCUCAGGACGAACGCUGGCGGCGUGCCUAAUACAUGCAAGUCGAGCGGACAGAUGGGAGCUUGCUCCCUGAUGUUAGCGGCGGACGGGUGAGUAACACGUGGGUAACCUGCCUGUAAGACUGGGAUAACUCCGGGAAACCGGGGCUAAUACCGGAUGGUUGUUUGAACCGCAUGGUUCAGACAUAAAAGGUGGCUUCGGCUACCACUUACAGAUGGACCCGCGGCGCAUUAGCUAGUUGGUGAGGUAACGGCUCACCAAGGCGACGAUGCGUAGCCGACCUGAGAGGGUGAUCGGCCACACUGGGACUGUGGCCGAUCACCCUCUCAGGUCGGCUACGCAGACACGGCCCAGACUCCUACGGGAGGCAGCAGUAGGGAAUCUUCCGCAAUGGACGAAAGUCUGACGGAGCAACGCCGCGUGAGUGAUGAAGGUUUUCGGAUCGUAAAGCUCUGUUGUUAGGGAAGAACAAGUGCCGUUCAAACAGGGCGGCACCUUGACGGUACCUAACCAGAAAGCCACGGCUAACUACGUGCCAGCAGCCGCGGUAAUACGUAGGUGGCAAGCGUUGUCCGGAAUUAUUGGGCGUAAAGGGCUCGCAGGCGGUUUCUUAAGUCUGAUGUGAAAGCCCCCGGCUCAACCGGGGAGGGUCAUUGGAAACUGGGGAACUUGAGUGCAGAAGAGGAGAGUGGAAUUCCACGUGUAGCGGUGAAAUGCGUAGAGAUGUGGAGGAACACCAGUGGCGAAGGCGACUCUCUGGUCUGUAACUGACGCUGAGGAGCGAAAGCGUGGGGAGCGAACAGGAUUAGAUACCCUGGUAGUCCACGCCGUAAACGAUGAGUGCUAAGUGUUAGGGGGUUUCCGCCCCUUAGUGCUGCAGCUAACGCAUUAAGCACUCCGCCUGGGGAGUACGGUCGCAAGACUGAAACUCAAAGGAAUUGACGGGGGCCCGCACAAGCGGUGGAGCAUGUGGUUUAAUUCGAAGCAACGCGAAGAACCUUACCAGGUCUUGACAUCCUCUGACAAUCCUAGAGAUAGGACGUCCCCUUCGGGGGCAGAGUGACAGGUGGUGCAUGGUUGUCGUCAGCUCGUGUCGUGAGAUGUUGGGUUAAGUCCCGCAACGAGCGCAACCCUUGAUCUUAGUUGCCAGCAUUCAGUUGGGCACUCUAAGGUGACUGCCGGUGACAAACCGGAGGAAGGUGGGGAUGACGUCAAAUCAUCAUGCCCCUUAUGACCUGGGCUACACACGUGCUACAAUGGACAGAACAAAGGGCAGCGAAACCGCGAGGUUAAGCCAAUCCCACAAAUCUGUUCUCAGUUCGGAUCGCAGUCUGCAACUCGACUGCGUGAAGCUGGAAUCGCUAGUAAUCGCGGAUCAGCAUGCCGCGGUGAAUACGUUCCCGGGCCUUGUACACACCGCCCGUCACACCACGAGAGUUUGUAACACCCGAAGUCGGUGAGGUAACCUUUUAGGAGCCAGCCGCCGAAGGUGGGACAGAUGAUUGGGGUGAAGUCGUAACAAGGUAGCCGUAUCGGAAGGUGCGGCUGGAUCACCUCCUUUCU